rnacentral:lncRNA from 1 species
UUUGUCCUGCAGCUGGAAUGCCAAGCCACAAAAGGGCAGUGAGAAAGCCAGGGCACCAGAAGGUAAUGGGGAGCAGGAUGUUUGAAGCCUCCGUGGGGCAAGAUCUGCAAAUGAGCUGA